GCCCAGAUGGGAUUAGCUAGUUGGUGGGGUAAAGGCUCACCAAGGCGACGAUCCGUAGCUGGUUUGAGAGGAUGACCAGCCACACUGGAACUGAGACACGGUCCAGACUCCUACGGGAGGCAGCAGUGGGGAAUAUUGCACAAUGGGGGCAACCCUGAUCCAGCCAUCCCGCGUGUAUGAAGAAGGCCUUCGGGUUGUAAAGUACUUUCAGCGGGGAGGAAGGGAGUAAAGUUAAUACGUGGUAUCAUUGACGUUAUCCGCAGAAGAAGCACCGGCUAACUCCGUGCCAGCAGCCGCGGUAAUACGGAGGGUGCAAGCGUUAAUCGGAAUUACUGGGCGUAAAGCGCGCGCAGGCGGUU
rnacentral:rRNA from 1 species